CACCAGAGACCAUCACAUCAACGUGUUGUAGCCUCUCUCUCUCUCUCCAUUCCCCCAGCCUAUCUCUCUCUCUCUGCGUGCGCUCUCUAGUGAGUGACCGUAUCAUUUAGUGAGACGCAGAGCUGCAAUCUCUCAGUCUUUAGCCGGAAAAGAAGAAAAAUUGAGUAGAGAAGACGAGACUCCAUUGCUCGUCUAUUAAGAUUUUGCCUGGACUAGACCAUGUCUGGGAGGAAAAUAAUAGCAAUUUGCCAGUCGGGUGGCGAGUUUGUCACCGGUAAAGAUGGUUCCUUGUCGUACACCGGUGGUGAUGCCCAUGCUAUAGAUAUUGAUCACCAGACACGGUUUGAUGAUUUCAAGUCAGAAAUAGCUGAAAUGUGGAAUUAUAGCAUUGGUACCAUGUGUUUAAAGUACUUCCUCCCAGGAAACAGGAAAACUCUUAUCACCAUAUCUAAUGACAAGGACCUAAAACGCAUGCUCAAUUUUGUUGGGGAUUCUGUCACUGUGGAUAUCUAUGUCAUGGCAGGAGAGAAUGUUGCUCGUGAUGUCUCAGUUAUGCCGGCCAGUAGGUCAAGCAGGACAACUUUGUCUGAAGCAGUCACUCCAGUUGAUGCUCCUGUAGAUGCUCCAAUGGAUACUGUUGUUGAUGCCCCAACUGACAUCAAUAUUGACACCCCAAAUGAUAUCACUACUGAUGCUGCUAUUGUCAUGUCCAUUGCUACUCCUCCAGCAAUUACUAGUGUUGACAGCAAGCAUAAUAAAGCUAAGAAACAAUGGGAAAAUGCUAUCACUGGUGUAGACCAAAGAUUUAGCAGUGUUCAUGAAUUUCGUGAAGCUCUGCGCAGAUAUUCCAUUGCUCAUGGGUUUGCUUACAAAUAUAAGAAGAAUGACAGUCAUCGUGUAACUGUCAAAUGCAAAACAGAGGGAUGUCCAUGGCGGAUACAUGCAUCAAGGUUGUCAACCACCCAGUUGAUUUGCAUUAAGAAAAUGAACCCAACACACACAUGUGAAGGAGAAGUUGCGACAACUGGGUAUCAGGCAACUAGGAGCUGGGUUGCAAGUAUUAUAAAGGAGAAGCUGAAAGAGUCCCCAAAUUACAAGCCAAAGGACAUUGCAAAUGACAUUAGAAGGGAGUAUGGGAUUCAACUGAACUAUUCUCAGGCUUGGCGUGGGAAAGAGAUUGCAAGGGAGCAGCUUCAGGGUUCAUACAAAGAGGCAUACAGCCAGUUGCCAUUCUUCUGUGAAAAGAUUAUGGAGACAAAUCCUGGUAGUUUUGCAACAUUUACUACUAAGGAAGAUUCAAGCUUUCACCGUCUCUUUGUUGCAUUCCAUGCUUCGCUGUCUGGUUUCCAACAAGGGUGUCGCCCUCUCAUUUUUCUUGAUAGCACACCUUUGAACUCAAAAUACCAAGGCACAUUAUUGGCUGCAACUGCAGCAGAUGGGAAUGAUGGUGUUUUUCCAAUUGCCUUUUCUGUAGUUGAUGUGGAGUGUGACCACAACUGGCGUUGGUUCUUAGGACAAUUGAAGACUGCAAUCGCCACGUCUCGUUCCAUAACAUUUGUAGCAGAUAUGCAGAAGGGGUUAAAGCAAUCAAUAGCUGAAAUCUUUGAGAAUGCAUAUCAUGGAUACUGUCUUCGGUACCUUGCAGAGAAACUCAAGAGAGACUUGAAGGGACAAUUUUCACAUGAAGUGAUGCGUCUCAUGGUUGCAGAUUUUUAUUCUGCUGCUUAUGCACCUAAACUUGAGGGAUUCCAAAGGUGUGCUGAAAGCCUCAAAAGUAUUUCUCUAGAGGCUUACAAGUGGCUUGUCGAAAGUGAGCCUGAACAUUGGGCAAAUGCGUUCUUUGGUGGUGCACGGUACAACCAUAUGACAUCUAAUUUUGGAGAAAUGUUCUACAGUUGGGUUUCAGAGGCAAAUGAUUUGCCAAUAACACAGAUGGUUGAUGUAUUACGUGGUAAGAUGAUGGAGUUGAUCUAUACACGUCGGAUGGAAUCCAGUCAAUGGUUGACCAGGUUGACUCCAUUAAUGGAAGAAAAGCUACAAAAAGAGACUAUAAAAGCACAUACCCUAGAAGUAUUAUUCUCACCUGGUAGCACAUUUGAGGUCCGUGGUGACUCUGUAGAUAUUGUUGAUAUUGAUCAUUGGGACUGCACUUGCAAAGGAUGGCAGAUUAGUGGUUUGCCAUGUUCCCAUGCCAUUGCUGUUUUUGAAUGCAUUGGAAGGAACCCAUAUGAUUACUGCUCUAGAUACUUCACAACUGAGAGUUAUCGAUUAACAUAUUCAGAAUCUAUACACCCAGUUCCAAGCAUUGACAGGUUCUUGCUGAAAGAUUCAUCUAAUGCAGCAUUAACAGUAACCCCUCCUCCCACUCGUCGUCCACCAGGCCGUCCAAAGAAUAAGCAGACAGGAUUUCAGGAGGUAGUCAAACGACAACUCCAAUGUAGUAGGUGCAAGGGUAUUGGGCAUAAUAAGACAACAUGCAAGAUGUCCUCGUAGGGAUGUCGGACUAUGAAGUCAUGAUGAAGCUUCUCAAGACGAUUCCUCACUUUGGCUGGUGCUAUAUAAACAGAAAGGAAAAAUAUGGGCUGGCUAGAGAGAGAGAGAGGCUUUGAUGAGAGCGAGUCUGCCCCCUUUCGAAAGACGGUUCCUCUUCUAGGAGUCCAAUCUUCCUCUCACAUUUUUCAAGCGUCAGAUCCCAACCCCAACCAGAGGCAAGCCAAGUGCCCAGCUUCAAAGGAGAUUGAUAGCCUAUUUCAUCCUUCAUUCUUCUUCCCACAGAGAAAAGGGGGAAAAACCCCAUAGAGAUGUGCAAAAACUGCAAUCUAUGAACAGUAUGGGAGAAUAGAUAGAGACAGGAUAAUGGCAUCAGAAUUUGUUUCUAAUGUUAAGAGCAUUAAGUAUUCUUAUGAUUUCAAGGUGUUGUCAAUAUUUUGGACCUUACUGGAUGCUUGUAUCUUGGCUAAAGAGAAGCGAAGAUAGGAUAGUGGCAUCAGAAUUUGCUUUUGUUAGCUAUGAGGUUAGCCAAAAGAGAAAUGCAUGGCGAGCUUGAUUUGAUGUUCUGGAACCCUGUUAUGCAGAACUACUUUGUCGGAACUAGGGAUCAUAAAUGGUGGCCUUGUUGGUCGCAACCGGCAUUUUAUUUGCUUUUGAAGGGAAGAACCUAUGUGACCAUGAGUGUAGGAGGUUCAAGGAAUGAUUGGUUGACAAUAUAAAAAACUGUGUAUAUUCUGUGUAAUUAUUACUCAACUAUCAGUCUCCCUUCCUGUUGAUUUUUUUUUUUUUUAAUUGUAUGAUGACUAAAUAUUCAGAGAUAAAAAAAAUGCUUUGGGUUGGAAAGAGAGUGAUUCCCACUCCAUCAGUCCAUCCGAGCAGAGAAGUAAUCACCACUUUGACUUUA